AUGAAAUUUUCAUAUACGGCUUUUAGAGGGGGACUCGGGUUAGUUACCUAUCUCAAUAAAGUAUAUGAUUGGUUUGAGGAACGUCUUGAAAUUCAGGCAAUUGCAGAUGAUAUAACUAGUAAAUAUGCUACUCCCCAUGUCAACAUAUUUUACUUUAGCUACUUUAAUAGAUUAGCCUAUUACACGGAAUUCGCGAUUAUUCUAUUUCCUUAUGCUCGCAAUGUAUAG
rnacentral:rRNA from 1 species